rnacentral:rRNA from 1 species
GAGUAACACGUGGGCAAUCUGCCCUUCACUCUGGGACAAGCCCUGGAAACGGGGUCUAAUACCGGAUAACACUCUCCGAGGCAUCUCGGGGGGUUGAAAGCUCCGGCGGUGAAGGAUGAGCCCGCGGCCUAUCAGCUUGUUGGUGAGGUAGUGGCUCACCAAGGCGACGACGGGUAGCCGGCCUGAGAGGGCGACCGGCCACACUGGGACUGAGACACGGCCCAGACUCCUACGGGAGGCAGCAGUGGGGAAUAUUGCACAAUGGGCGAAAGCCUGAUGCAGCGACGCCGCGUGAGGGAUGACGGCCUUCGGGUUGUAAACCUCUUUCAGCAGGGAAGAAGCGAAAGUGACGGUACCUGCAGAAGAAGCGCCGGCUAACUACGUGCCAGCAGCCGCGGUAAUACGUAGGGCGCAAGCGUUGUCCGGAAUUAUUGGGCGUAAAGAGCUCGUAGGCGGCUUGUCACGUCGGGUGUGAAAGCCCGGGGCUUAACCCCGGGUCUGCAUUCGAUACGGGCUAGCUAGAGUG